rnacentral:rRNA from 1 species
GGACGAACGCUGGCGGCGUGCUUAACACAUGCAAGUCGAACGGAAAGGCCCUGCUUUUGUGGGGUGCUCGAGUGGCGAACGGGUGAGUAACACGUGAGUAACCUGCCCUUGACUUUGGGAUAACUUCAGGAAACUGGGGCUAAUACCGGAUAGGAGCUCCUGCUGCAUGGUGGGGGUUGGAAAGUUUCGGCGGUUGGGGAUGGACUCGCGGCUUAUCAGCUUGUUGGUGGGGUAGUGGCUUACCAAGGCUUUGACGGGUAGCCGGCCUGAGAGGGUGACCGGCCACAUUGGGACUGAGAUACGGCCCAGACUCCUACGGGAGGCAGCAGUGGGGAAUAUUGCACAAUGGGCGGAAGCCUGAUGCAGAAACGCCGCGUGCGGGAUGACGGCCUUCGGGUUGUAAACCGCUUUCGCCUGUGACGAAGCGUGAGUGACGGUAAUGGGUAAAGAAGCACCGGCUAACUACGUG